rnacentral:lncRNA from 1 species
CAUCUUCUUCUCCUAUAUAUACAUACAUAUAUAUAUAUAUAUAUAUAUAUAUAUAUAUAUAUGAAAUCAAUCGGUUUGUUUCUGUGAAGUAAAUAAACAAAAAUAACAAAUUCUUCGCUUUCUCGAGAGAGAGUGAGAGAAACCCAUUCCAGAUUUGGAUGAAAAGCGCUCGACUUUAUAAUUCAGUGGGUCAAUUCACAAUCUCCCACAGUAGAUUGUGGAAAGAUUUGAUUUUUAUGUUGUUGUUUUUUUCCAAAUACAAGAGGGAAAAGUAUAGCUUAAAUUAUAGUAAUAGACGACCCAAAUCGAAUUUCGAACAAACAAGAUUCGUUUUGCAAUCUUUCCAGAAAACGAUCAUUACAAUCUCAAGUUGGAACCACCUGAAAAUCCAUACAAAAAAAGUAAUAGUAUUUCAUAAACGAAAAAGAAGGAAAAAAAUUGACCUUUUGAGGAUUGAGGGGAGAUUUAUUAGAGGAGUGAAGUGUGGUGCGAAGUCUGGUACUCAUCUUCUAACUCCCUUGAAAAUAUACAAAAGCUGAUAAAACGAUGGGGAACAUCAAACCCCAACACAGAGACAGAGAGAGCGGGAAAGUAGGAAAAAAAAAUGAGAGUAGAGUGUAGGGAGAGUUGAAUGAAAAUAUAUAAUGCGCUCCUCGGCUCCUCCUAUAUAUU